GCCUCAAAGGGGAUGGAUUGUGAUAUCACACUUCAAACCGCUGAGCCUCAAAGGGGGUGGAUUAUGAUAUCACACAUCGGUUCAAAAGAUAAACGAAACAUUCUUUAUAAGAAUGUAGAAACUUCUUCCUAGCAGAUACAUUUUAAAAACCUUUUGAGAAAACUCUGAAGGAAAAACUGCUGGGGUGGGGUGAAUUUAGGCGGUUACAGUUUGCAUCCAUUCCCUGUCUUGGUGACAUCUGAGAUAAGUACAAAAAGCAUACAUCUGAUCGACAGUUGAGGGGUUGCGAUGGCUGAUAGAUCAUGCAUGAGAUAGCCUCUCUCACUUUCAUGUUUAAAAGCAAGCGGGGUUUGGCAAUACUGCUAAAAGCUUUCUCCACCCAACUUCUUAGCAGAGGUAUCAAAUAGAAAUGAACGAUCAAAAAAGCAAGAAAUUUGGACAGAUCCGCAAGCAGGCUGAGCAGAACCAUGGAUUUGUUUGUCAACAGUCUCUCUCUCUCUCUCUCUCUUCAGGAACUAGAAAUGACAUGGAGACCAUGCGGACAAGGUUUGCAGACCUGAACGGCAAGCCAAUUAUCCGAAAGCCUUAGAAUUUUCGUCCCAAUAAUUGAAAGUGUUAUCCAAAUUAGACGAUCCUUGGCAUCAUGUGCUUAACUCUUGGUCCUGGAUGUGAUAGGUAGGACAGUCACCGAUAAGUGAUAAGGAGUCGUGGAAAUACAGAAGAAAGUUUCUACUGAUCUGUUCUUGAAGAACUUCUAUGGCCCCAUGCUCAUUGAGUCGUGACCCAAGAGAGGUAGAAAGUUGUAGCCUAUAGGCUUUCUAUUUCGAUCGAUUAUGCAUUACUAUUGUUGUCCCUACUUCUUGUUGAUAUCGAACUUCUAGAACUUCAAUAUGAUAGAUUUUUUAGAGAGUUUUCGACA